AAUAGAAUCAAUUUACUAGGUAGAUUCUUUUAUGCUGAGUCUUACCCCUUUCCCCUUUCCCCUUCCCCCCAGAUAUGUAAGAGCAAAUACAUUCUCACACUAUAGGCCUUAUAUCUCUGCAUGUCAGGGAUCAGUGCAAUAAAGGGCUUGAAGAAGAAUGAAUACUAAUCCAAAGUCCAUCAACAGAAGAAAUCUAACUACACAGGAUAUCCAGUGAUUUCUGUGUGAUUAAAGUUUAAUGUAAUGACCAGAUUUUGUCAUGUUCCCA